rnacentral:rRNA from 1 species
UACCCUUGACAUCCCGAUCGCGGUUUCCAGAGAUGGAUUCCUUCAGUUAGGCUGGAUCGGUGACAGGUGCUGCAUGGCUGUCGUCAGCUCGUGUCGUGAGAUGUUGGGUUAAGUCCCGCAACGAGCGCAACCCUCAUCCUUAGUUGCCAUCACGUUUGGGUGGGCACUCUAAGGAAACUGCCGGUGGCAAGCCGGAGGAAGGUGGGGAUGACGUCAAGUCCUCAUGGCCCUUACGGGUAGGGCUACACACGUGUUACAAUGGCAGUGACAAUGGGAUAAUCCCAAAAAGCUGUCUCAGUUCAGAUUGUCCUCUGCAACUCGAGGGCAUGAAGGUGGAAUCGCUAGUAAUCGUGGAUCAGCAUGCCACGGUGAAUACGUUCCCGGGCCU